rnacentral:rRNA from 1 species
CAGCCGCCGCGGUAAUACGAAGGGGGCUAGCGUUGUUCGGAAUUACUGGGCGUAAAGCGCACGUAGGCGGAUAUUUAAGUCAGGGGUGAAAUCCCGCAGCUCAACUGCGGAACUGCCUUUGAUACUGGGUAUCUUGAGUAUGGAAGAGGUAAGUGGAAUUCCGAGUGUAGAGGUGAAAUUCGUAGAUAUUCGGAGGAACACCAGUGGCGAAGGCGGCUUACUGGUCCAUUACUGACGCUGAGGUGCGAAAGCGUGGGGAGCAAACAGGAUUAGAUACCCCGGUAGUCCCUGUCUCUUAUAC